GAGUUUGAUCCUGGCUCAGGACGAACGCUGGCGGCGGGCCUAACACAUGCAAGUCGCGGGAGAAGCCGGCUCUUCGGAGCCGGUGGAGACCGGCGGAUGGGUGAGUAACGCGUAGGCAACCUGCCUGGAGGGCGGGGAUAACAUCUCGAAAGGGGUGCUAAUACCCGAUGAUGCAGCGGCCCCGCAUGGGGACAGUUGUUAAAGGUUUCGGCCGCCUCCAGAUGGGCCUGCGUGCCAUUAGCUGGUUGGUGAGGUAGAAGCUCACCAAGGCGAUGAUGGCUAGGGGGUCUGAGAGGAUGAUCCCCCACACUGGGACUGAGACACGGCCCAGACUCCUACGGGAGGCAGCAGUGAGGAAUCUUGCGCAAUGGGGGCAACCCUGACGCAGCCACGCCGCGUGCUGGAAGACGGCCCUAUGGGUUGUAAACAGCUUUUGGUCGGGAAGAACCCGGGGGUUUCGAUCCCCGCUGACGGUACCGGCCGAAUAAGCACCGGCUAACUCCGUGCCAGCAGCCGCGGUAAUACGGAGGGUGCAAGCGUUGUCCGGAAUCAUUGGGUGUAAAGGGUGCGCAGGCGGGCUGCCGCGUCGGGGGUGAAAUCUUGCCGCUUAACGGUAAAAUGGCCUUCGAUACGGGCAGUCUUGAGUCCAGAAGAGGCCGGUGGAAUUCGUGGUGUAGCGGUGAAAUGCAUAGAUAUCACGAAGAACACCAGUGGCGAAGGCGGCCCGGCUGGUCUGGUACUGACGCUGAGGCACGAGAGCGUGGGGAGCGAACAGGAUUAGAUACCCUGGUAGUCCACGCCGUAAACGAUGAGUGCUAAGUGUUAGAGGGUUUCCGCCCUUUAGUGCUGCAGCUAACGCAUUAAGCACUCCGCCUGGGGAGUACGGCCGCAAGGCUGAAACUCAAAGGAAUUGACGGGGGCCCGCACAAGCGGUGGAGCAUGUGGUUUAAUUUGAAGCAACGCGAAGAACCUUACCAGGUCUUGACAUCCUCUGACACUCCUAGAGAUAGGACGUUCCCCUUCGGGGGACAGAGUGACAGGUGGUGCAUGGUUGUCGUCAGCUCGUGUCGUGAGAUGUUGGGUUAAGUCCCGCAACGAGCGCAACCCUUGAUCUUAGUUGCCAGCAUUCAGUUGGGCACUCUAAGGUGACUGCCGGUGACAAACCGGAGGAAGGUGGGGAUGACGUCAAAUCAUCAUGCCCCUUAUGACCUGGGCUACACACGUGCUACAAUGGAUGGUACAAAGGGCUGCAAGACCGCGAGGUUUAGCCAAUCCCAUAAAACCAUUCUCAGUUCGGAUUGCAGGCUGCAACUCGCCUGCAUGAAGCCGGAAUCGCUAGUAAUCGCGGAUCAGCAUGCCGCGGUGAAUACGUUCCCGGGCCUUGUACACACCGCCCGUCACACCACGAGAGUUUGUAACACCCGAAGUCGGUGGGGUAACCGUAAGGAGCCAGCCGCCUAAGGUGGGACAGAUGAUUGGGGUGAAGUCGUAACAAGGUAGCCGU
rnacentral:rRNA from 1 species